rnacentral:rRNA from 1 species
CCUACGGGUGGCAGCAGUGGGGAAUAUUGGGCAAUAGGCGCAAGCCUGACCCAGCAACGCCGCGUGAAGGAAGACGGCCCUCGGGUUGUAAACUUCUUUUAUCGGGGACGAAGCAAGUGCCGGUACCUGCUGAAUAAGCCACGGCUAACUACGUGCCAGCAGCCGCGGUCAUACGUAGGUGGCAAGCGUUAUCCGGAUUUCCUGGGUGUAAAGGGCGUGUAGGCGGGAGUGCAAGUCAGAUGUGAAAACUAUGGGCUCAACCCAUAGCCUGCAUUUGAAACUGUACUUCUUGAGUGCUGGAGAGGCAAUCGGAAUUCCGGGUGUAGCGGUGAAAUGCGUAGAUAUACGGAGGAACACCAGUGGCGAAGGCGGAUUGCUGGACAGUAACUGACGCUGAGGCGCGAAAGCGUGGGGAGCAAACAGGAUUAGAUACCCCAGUAGUC